rnacentral:SRP_RNA from 2 species
GCCGGGCAUGGUGGUGUGCGCCUGUAAUCCCAGCUACUGGGGAGGCUGAGGCAGAAGAAUCGCUUGAACCCAGGAGGUGAGGUUGCAGUGAGCUGAGAUUGCACCACUGGACUACAGCCUGGGUGACAGAGCGAGACUCUGUCUCAA